AUUGAACGCUGGCGGCAGGCUUAACACAUGCAAGUCGAGCGGGGGAAGGUAGCUUGCUACCGGACCUAGCGGCGGACGGGUGAGUAAUGCUUAGGAAUCUGCCUAUUAGUGGGGGACAACAUCUCGAAAGGGAUGCUAAUACCGCAUACGUCCUACGGGAGAAAGCAGGGGAUCUUCGGACCUUGCGCUAAUAGAUGAGCCUAAGUCGGAUUAGCUAGUUGGUGGGGUAAAGGCCUACCAAGGCGACGAUCCGUAGCGGGUCUGAGAGGAUGAUCCGCCACACUGGGACUGAGACACGGCCCAGACUCCUACGGGAGGCAGCAGUGGGGAAUAUUGGACAAUGGGGGGAACCCUGAUCCAGCCAUGCCGCGUGUGUGAAGAAGGCCUUAUGGUUGUAAAGCACUUAAGCGAGGAGGAGGCUACUCUAGUUAAUACCUAGGGAUAGUGGACGUUACUCGCAGAAUAAGCACCGGCUAACUCUGUGCCAGCAGCCGCAGUAA
rnacentral:rRNA from 1 species